AGAGUUUGAUCAUGGCUCAGAACGAACGCUGGCGGCGUGCCUAACACAUGCAAGUCGCGCGAGAAAGGGGACUUCGGUCUCUAAGUAAAGCGGCGAAUGGGUGAGUAUCGCGUGGGCAAUCUGCCCUCGAGACCGGGACAACUUGGCGAAAGCCGGGCUAAUACCGGAUAAGCCCACGGGGGCUUCGGCUCCUGCGGGAAAAGGGUGCCCUCUCCAUGGAAGGUACCGCUCGAAGAUGGGCCCGCGUCCGAUUAGCUUGUUGGUGAGGUAACGGCUCACCAAGGCUAAGAUCGGUAGCUGGUCUGAGAGGAUGAUCAGCCACACUGGGACUGAGACACGGCCCAGACUCCUACGGGAGGCAGCAGUGGGGAAUAUUGCGCAAUGGGGGAAACCCUGACGCAGCAACGCCGCGUGAGUGAUGAAGGCCCUCGGGUCGUAAAGCUCUGUCAGGUGGGACGAAUGGCCGCGGGUGAAUAACCCGUUGGCUUUGACGGUACCGCCAAAGGAAGCACCGGCUAACUCCGUGCCAGCAGCCGCGGUAAUACGGAGGGUGCGAGCGUUGUUCGGAAUUACUGGGCGUAAAGAGCUUGUAGGCGGCUCGUUAAGUCUGAUGUGAAAGCCCUCGGCUCAACCGGGGAAGUGCAUUGGAUACUGGCGAGCUUGAGUAUGGGAGAAGGAGAGCGGAAUUNCCCGGUGUAGAGGUGAAAUUCGUAGAUAUCGGGAGGAACACCAGUGGCGAAGGCGGCUCUCUGGACCAAUACUGACGCUGAAAACCAAAGCGUGGGGAGCAAAC
rnacentral:rRNA from 1 species